rnacentral:sRNA from 1 species
GUUUUGCGUUAGGGAUUGAUGCGGCAUCCUUUUUUAUGAAUUCGACUGCCAAAGCAGUAGUAUUAAUAGAAAAAGAUAUAGCGGAAAGCCCGACCCGAA